UAUAUUUAGUAAAAAGAUAUAGUAUGUAUGCACGUGCAGCAAAAGAUAACUAUAAUAUUACUUGCAAUAUAAUUUUUAUAAUAUGCGUUCGUCGCAUACAUUUAUCCUUGGUAUUAUCUAUGACUGUAAAAGUAUAAAAGGAAAUCAUUGCGUAGAAUGCCACAUAUAUAAACAAGUUGUACUGUGAAGAGCGUGAUAAUUCUCUCUUCUCUCUAAAGUUAAUUAAAAGUUUUUCUUUCUUUAACUUUAAAUUUCGUUGCUGUUUCCAUCACUAGAACGUAUUUUUGGAAAAAUGGAAAAUAUUCGUUGGAACAAAUUUGGCAUUUUACAUCUGCUCAUGACGUUCUUAUUAAUAUCUACUUUUAUCACAAUAGCGAUUGCUGAGUCAAGCUUGAUGGAUCCGCUACCUUGUCCUAGCGGUAGGAUAAAGGAUACGGCUACUGGUGUCUGUCGCCUAAUCAUCGAUUAAGGACAGUUAUGCGGACAUCUGAAAGUUCUGUUGCACUUUAUAUGUUCAUCUAAACAACAAUUAUAAGUAUAUUCUUGUAAUCAAGUCUGUCAAGAAACAAUGAGAAAUAAACUAUUAUAAAUAUACAUAUAUGUA